rnacentral:rRNA from 1 species
GUAGCGGCGAGCGAAACGGGAAGAGCCCAAACCAACAAGCUUGCUUGUUGGGGUUGUAGGACACUCUAUACGGAGUUACAAAGGACGACAUUAGACGAAUCAUCUGGAAAGAUGAAUCAAAGAAGGUAAUAAUCCUGUAGUCGAAAAUGUUGUCUCUCUUGAGUGGAUCCUGAGUACGACGGAGCACGUGAAAUUCCGUCGGAAUCUGGGAGGACCAUCUCCUAAGGCUAAAUACUCUCUAGUGACCGAUAGUGAACCAGUACCGUGAGGGAAAGGUGAAAAGCACCCCGGAAGGGGAGUGAAAUAGAACCUGAAACCGUGUGCUUACAAGUAGUCAGAGCCCGUUAAUGGGUGAUGGCGUGCCUUUUGUAGAAUGAACCGGCGAGUUACGAUUUGAUGCAAGGUUAAGCAGUAAAUGUGGAGCCGUAGCGAAAGCGAGUCUGAAUAGGGCGUUUAGUAUUUGGUCGUAGACCCGAAACCAGGUGAUCUACCCUUGGUCAGGUUGAAGUUCAGGUAACACUGAAUGGAGGACCGAACCGACUUACGUUGAAAAGUGAGCGGAUGAACUGAGGGUAGCGGAGAAAUUCCAAUCGAACCUGGAGAUAGCUGGUUCUCUCCGAAAUAGCUUUAGGGCUAGCCUCAAGUGAUGAUUAUUGGAGGUAGAGCACUGUUUGGACGAGGGGCCCCUCUCGGGUUACCGAAUUCAGACAAACUCCGAAUGCCAAUUAAUUUAACUUGGGAGUCAGAACAUGGGUGAUAAGGUCCGUGUUCGAAAGGGAAACAGCCCAGACCACCAGCUAAGGUCCCAAAAUAUAUGUUAAGUGGAAAAGGAUGUGGCGUUGCCCAGACAACUAGGAUGUUGGCUUAGAAGCAGCCAUCAUUUAAAGAGUGCGUAAUAGCUCACUAGUCGAGUGACACUGCGCCGAAAAUGUACCGGGGCUAAACAUAUUACCGAAGCUGUGGAUUGUCCUUUGGACAAUGGUAGGAGAGCGUUCUAAGGGCGUUGAAGCAUGAUCGUAAGGACAUGUGGAGCGCUUAGAAGUGAGAAUGCCGGUGUGAGUAGCGAAAGACGGGUGAGAAUCCCGUCCACCGAUUGACUAAGGUUUCCAGAGGAAGGCUC